GCUCACACCCAGCUCUGCCCACUGCGCCCGGCUCACCUGUAACUCUAGAACGUUAUUUUCUUGCAUGCAGAGCCUCUCAUUUCCCUUUUUCCUGGGCCACACGUGAAGCAGUGACUCACAAGGAGAAGUAACAAAGGGGCAGGAGGAGGAAGGGUCCUUCUGGAUCGGAGGUCAGGAGGGCAGUGGGCAGGCAGCCUCCACCUGCCUCUGGCUGGAGUCGGACUGGGCUCAGAGUCCAGAUGCGCCCCUCUUGCUACUCUCUCCUCCCCUGGCUUGCCCCUGCACAGCCUGGGACAAGCUGUAGCUGGAACUGGGGAAA
rnacentral:lncRNA from 1 species